rnacentral:rRNA from 1 species
GACGAACGCUGGCGGCGUGCUUAACACAUGCAAGUCGAACGGUGAAGCGCCUUCCUUUUUGGUGGGUGUGGAUGAGUGGCGAACGGGUGAGUAACACGUGAGUAACCUGCCCCCUUCUUCUGGAUAACCGCAUGAAAGUGUGGCUAAUACGGGAUAUUCUGGGUCUGUCGCAUGAUGGGUCUGGGAAAGUUAUUGUUUCGGUGGGGGAUGGGCUCGCGGCCUAUCAGCUUGUUGGUGGGGUGAUGGCCUACCAAGGCGGUGACGGGUAGCCGGCCUGGGAGGGUGGACGGUCACACUGGGACUGAGACACGGCCCAGACUCCUACGGGAGGCAGCAGUGGGGAAUAUUGCACAAUGGGCGCAAGCCUGAUGCAGCGACGCCGCGUGAGGGAUGGAGGCCUUCGGGUUGUGAACCUCUUUCGCCAGUGAAGCAGGACUGCCUCGUUUGUGGGUGGGUUGACGGUAGCUGGAGAAGAAGCGCCGGCUAACUACGUG